rnacentral:lncRNA from 1 species
AAAACCAAACUUAGAUCUUGGAUUCAUAUUUCACAUAUCGAUCUCAGUAUCUUAUUCUCUAAUGCAAUCUCAAUUUUCAAUGUUCCAAAUAUCUUGGGGCCACUAGUUCAUACUGGCAGAAGGCCUAUUUAUUCAAAUAGCCGAGACUAACUUAAUCUUCUUCUGCUGGUACCGAUCAAAUAUUUUUGUUUUCCAGGUGUAAGUGCGAGAUCCUCCUCAGUGUUCGGCCUUUCGACGAACUCAAGCGAAAUAUGUACUUGAGGAAUAAGUUUGAAUCAUAAUGUGGUCUAUGUUACUUGUAUCUGUUUCUGGAAUUACUGCUCUAAAUAGCAAAAUAUAAGCCUUUUCGCCGUUAGAUUUACCUGUUCUAUAUCUACAUUUUCUUUUGACAAUGUUGAUGUCAGCAUCACAAGCAGAUUUACUAGCGCCAUGUUAUGAGAACAUCAAAAAGGGCAGAACACCACAAUUCCAUUAUAUCUGGAA